rnacentral:rRNA from 1 species
AUUGAACGCUGGCGGCAGGCUCAACACAUGCAAGUCGAGCGGGGUGAUGGUGCUUGCACUAUCACUUAGCGGCGGACGGGUGAGUAAUGCUUAGGAAUCUGCCUAUUAGUGGGGGACAACAUCUCGAAAGGGAUGCUAAUACCGCAUACGUCCUACGGGAGAAAGCAGGGGAUCACUUGUGACCUUGCGCUAAUAGAUGAGCCUAAGUCGGAUUAGCUAGUUGGUGGGGUAAGGCCUACCAAGGCGACGAUCUGUAGCGGGUCUGAGAGGAUGAUCCGCCACACUGGGACUGAGACACGGCCCAGACUCCUACGGGAGGCAGCAGUGGGGAAUAUUGGACAAUGGGGGGAACCCUGAUCCAGCCAUGCCGCGUGUGUGAAGAAGGCCUUAUGGUUGUAAAGCACUUUAAGCGAGGAGGAGGCUCUUUUGGUUAAUACCCAAGAUGAGUGGACGUUACUCGCAGAAUAAGCACCGGCUAACUCUGUGCCAGCAGCCGCCGUAA